rnacentral:rRNA from 1 species
AAUAGAUACCCGGGUAGUCCACGCCGUAAACGGUGGGCACUAGAUGUGGGGUUCUUUCCAUGAGUUCCGCGUCGCAGCUAACGCAUUAAGUGCCCCGCCUGGGGAGUACGGCCGCAAGGCUAAAACUCAAAGGAAUUGACGGGGGCCCGCACAAGCGGCGGAGCAUGCGGAUUAAUUCGAUGCAACGCGAAGAACCUUACCAAGGCUUGACAUAUACGGUCUAUCCCUAGAGAUAGGGAGUGCUUCGGCGCCGUAUACAGGUGGUGCAUGGUUGUCGUCAGCUCGUGUCGUGAGAUGUUGGGUUAGGUCCCGCAACGAGCGCAAUCCUCGUUCUAUGUUGCCAGCACGUAAUGGUGGGGACUCAUAGGAGACUGCCGGGGUCAACUCGGAGGAAGGUGGGGAUGACGUCAAAUCAUCAUGCCCCUUAUGUCUUGGGCUUCACGCAUGCUACAAUGGCCGGUACAAAGGGCUGCAAUACCGUAAGGUGGAGCGAAUCCCAAAAAGCCGGUCUCAGUUCGGAUUGAGGUCUGCAAC